CUCUGGUGCACGCGGAUGUCUGUGGAGGCGGAAAUUUAAUUCGACCUCACCUCGGGCUGCCGGCCUCCCCAAGUUCCUGCUGCCGGCGCCCUCCCGAAGCUCCUGCCGGCCUCCUCCCCGAGCCCCAAGCACGAACAAGGAAACCUUGACACACGCUUGCGUCCAGUAGCUCGAUCUGCUGGUGCUAGGAGGGGAUUACCAUUGGAGCUGCAGCAGGUGUUGAGCACUCAUAGUUUCAGAUCUUCCUGACAUCAAUAUGCCGCCGCGACCUUGACGGGCUGGGGCUCGAUGCCGACACGCUCUGCCUUUUGGUGCACCUCUUUGCUGUGUUCGACAACCAAGGCGCGGCAAGUUACUCCGGGACUGAUAGAAUCACCACAAAUUGAGAUGAGGCA